AUGGCGUCUGUGGGGUUCGGCAGCAGCGUGGCGGCCGUGGCGCCGGCGGGGAGGACGAGCCUUCGCCCGCAGCGGACGCGGCUGGCGGUGCCGGCGGCCACGAGGGGCACGCCGGCUCCGGCCAAGAAGGAGAAGAGCAUCCUGGACUUCAUCGUCAGCGCCAUCGUCAAGGACGAGCAGGAGUUCAUCGAGACCAACCCGCUGCUCAACAAGGUGGACGGCCCGGCGCCCUCCGCCGGUGGCACCGCCUCCAGGAAGGCCGGCGGCACCACCUCCGGCAAGAAGCCCGCGGCCGGCAGCGAGGGCGGCGGCGGGUUCAACCUCGGCGGCCUCUUCGCCAAGAAAGGCUAG
rnacentral:rRNA from 1 species